AACGCUGGCGGCGCGCUUAACACAUGCAAGUCGAGCGAGAACCGGGACUUCGGUCCCGGGGAAAGCGGCGAACGGGUGAGUAACACGUGGGUAAUCUGCCCUCGAUUCUGGGAUAGCCCGGGGAAACCCGGAUUAAUACCGGAUAGCCUUUCGAGCCUUCGGGCGCGAAAGAAAAGGUAGCUUCGGCCUCCGAUCGAGGAUGAGCCCGCGGUGGAUUAGCUUGUUGGUGAGGUAAUGGCUCACCAAGGCGACGAUCCAUAGCUGGGCUGGGAGGACGAGCAGCCACACUGGGACUGAGACACGGCCCAGACUCCUACGGGAGGCAGCAGGGGGGAAUCGUGCGCAAUGGGCGAAAGCCUGACGCAGCGACGCCGCGUGAGGGAAGAAGGCCUUAGGGUUGUAAACCUCUUUCAGGUGGGACGAAGCCACUCGGGUGAAUAGCCCAGAGGGUGACGGUACCGCCAGAAGAAGCCCCGGCUAACUACGUGCCAGCCGCCGCCGUAAGAC
rnacentral:rRNA from 1 species